rnacentral:rRNA from 1 species
AUGAACGCUAGCGGCAGGCUUAACACAUGCAAGUCGAGGGGCAUCGGGAGUAGCAAUACUGCCGGCGACCGGCGCAAGGGUGCGUAACGCGUGAGCAACAUGCCCGUAUCAGGGGGAUAAUCCAUGGAAACGUGGUCUAAUACCCCAUAGUAAUUAUGUAAGGCAUCUUAUAUAAUUUAAAGCUUUGGUGGAUACGGAUUGGCUCGCGUGACAUUAGCUGGAUGGUAAGGUAACGGCUUACCAUGGCUACGAUGUCUAGGGGUUCUGAGAGGAAGGUCCCCCCACACUGGAACUGAGACACGGUCCAGACUCCUACGGGAGGCAGCAGUGAGGAAUAUUGGACAAUGGAUGGAAAUCUGAUCCAGCCAUGCCGCGUGCAGGAAGAACCGGCCCUAUGGGUUGUAAACUGCUUUUGUAUGGGAGCAAUAAGGGCUACGUGUAGUCCGAUGAGAGUACCAUACGAAUAAGCACCGGCUAACUCCGUGCCAGCAGCAGC